GCAUGGUUGUCGUCAGCUCGUGUCGUGAGAUGUUGGUUAAGUCCCGCAACGAGCGCAACCCUUAUUGCUAGUUACCAUCAUUGAGUUGGGGACUCUAGCGAGACUGCCAGCGAUAAGCUGGAGGAAGGUGGGGAUGACGUCAAAUCAUCAUGCCCCUUAUGGCCUGGGCUACAAACGUGAUACAAUGGCUGGAACAAAGGGAGGCGAAGGGGUGACCUGGAGCGAAACCCAAAAAUACAGUCUCAGUUCGGAUUGAAGUCUGCAACUCGACUUCAUGAAGUCGGAAUCGCUAGUAAUCGCGGAUCAGAACGCCGCGGUGAAUACGUUCCCGGGCCUU
rnacentral:rRNA from 1 species